AUUGAACGCUGGCGGCAGGCUUAACACAUGCAAGUCGAGCGGGGGAAGGUAGCUUGCUACCGGACCUAGCGGCGGACGGGUGAGUAAUGCUUAGGAAUCUGCCUAUUAGUGGGGGACAACAUCUCGAAAGGGAUGCUAAUACCGCAUACGUCCUACGGGAGAAAGCAGGGGAUCACUUAUGACCUUGCGCUAAUAGAUGAGCCUAAGUCGGAUUAGCUAGUUGGUGGGGUAAAGGCCUACCGAGGCGACGAUCUGUAGCGGGUCUGAGAGGAUGAUCCGCCCCACUGGGACUGAGACACGGCCCAGACUCCUACGGGAGGCAGCAGUGGGGAAUAUUGGACAAUGGGGGGAACCCUGAUCCAGCCAUGCCGCGUGUGUGAAGAAGGCCUUAUGGUUGUAAAGCACUUUAAGCGAGGAGGAGGCUCUUUUGGUUAAUACCCAAGAUGAGUGGACGUUACUCGCAGAAUAAGCACCGGCUAACUCUGUGCCAGCCGCCGCCGUAA
rnacentral:rRNA from 1 species